CCCUUAGAUGUUCGGGGCCGCACGCGCGCUACACUGAAGGACUCAGCGUGUCUCUCCCCCUAUCCCGAAAGGGAUGGGCAACCCGUUGAACCUCCUUCGUGCUAGGGAUUGGGGUUUGCAAUUAUCCCCCAUGAACGAGGAAUUCCCAGUAAGCGCGAGUCAUCAGCUCGCGUUGAUUACGUCCCUGCCCUUUGUACACACCGCCCGUCGCCACUACCGAUUGGAUGGUUUAGUGAGACCCUCGGAUCGGUCCCGACUCGGGGUGGGCUUCUGCCCCGGUCGUGGUUUCGCCGAGAAGACGGUCAAACUUGACGAUCUAGAGGAAGUAAAAGUCGUAACA
rnacentral:rRNA from 1 species